ACACCCAAAACCUUGUCUUCAGUUAUUCCCCAUUGAAGCAAGCAAAUUAAUCAUGUUACCUCUAGCAUUGGCUAUACCUGCGUUGCAGCUCCUUCUGAUAAUACUUUUCAUUCUAUCAGUUGCCCAGCUUCUUAAUCCAAAAGAGCAUAAAAAUGGUAGGAAAUAUCCACCAGGUCCCAAACCUCUGCCAAUUAUAGGCAACCUCCACCUGCUGGGUAAACUCCCACACCUCUCCAUUCACGAGCUUGCCAAAAAAUAUGGACCCAUCAUGUCCUUAAAGCUAGGACAGGUCCCAACCAUUGUGGUUUCGUCCCCUGAAACAGCAGAGCUAAUCCUCAAGACCCAUGACUCUGUUUUUGCUAGCAGACCUUUAACUCAAGCAUCCAAAUACAUUUGCUAUGACAGUAAGGGCUUGAUUUUCUCUGAGUACGGUUCCUACUGGCGCAAUGUGACGAAGCUGUGCACCUUUGAGCUCUUAAGCGUGAAUAAAGUUCAAAGUUUUGCUCCUUUAAGGAGUGAGGAAGUACGAGUGUUUGUGAAAUCACUUGAGAAAUCAGCAGCCUCACGCGAGGUUGUGAAUGUCAGUAAGAGAGUUGGGGAACUUGUAGAGAAUGUUGUCCAGAAAAUGAUUUGGGGUCCCAGUAACAUUGAAAAUUUUGAUGUCAAAAGGCUUGUUCAUGACGUUCUGCACCUCAUGGGAGUUUUUGAUGUGGGAGAUUAUAUACCUUGGGUUGGGGCAUUUGAUCUUCAGGUACUUCCAAUACAACCACUACUAGCAUGUUUGAAUCUACUUAUUUCGCUUCAUAAUCAUUUCUUAUAUGCAACAAUUAAACUUUUUUCCUAGAAUCAAUUUUGCCUUUAAAAGGACUAUAGAUCGAUUUUCGUACAUGUACUAUUGCAUCUUGUUCAAGGUUGUCAUCGAUUCUAAGUUUCUAGGUCCCAAAAAGAAUCAACUAGCAAGUAAACUCUAAAAUUUCAAGAAUCGAGCAAACUCUUGUUAACUUGGUAAACUCGCAUAGGCUUGCGAUUCUACACCAAGUUAGUCACGGAAAAAACAAAAACAAAUUUUUCCCUAAAUCCUGAAAUUAAAUGGAGUAAUUUUGGAUUUUCACAAAAAGCUUUCAAUUAAGACCGAGAGAAAAAUAGGAUUUUCUCAUUUUAAUCCAACAUUCUCAUUCACCUUCAAACUCUUGGAGAAGAUGAGACAUCAGCGCUGCAAGUCGUCGUCGCCGCUUUAAAUUUUUAGCUAUCUCCAAGACUUUAUUUUGAAUUAUGCAUUCUUGGUACUUUGAAUCUUUGAUCGUUUAUGUAUUUUAUUGAACUUUACUUUAUUAUAAAGUUGGUUGUUGAAUUUAUUUGAUUAUUGUCUCCUUAGUGGUUGUAUUAUGUAUUCUUUUUACACCAUGACAGGUUUUAUCAAGGUUUUUAUUUUGGUAGACUCUUACGAGUCUACGAGUUAACUUGAGGAAACGAGUUUACCUCCCAAAACGAGUUUGCGUAGACUCUCGAGUCUGACAACAUUGAUCUUGUUACUUUUGAUUCUUAAAAGUCUUAUGUGACAAACCUAGGACACAUCAUCAGUUAGUCCGUAGUGGCAUUCUACAAGGCUUUAUGAGACUGUAUGACACACCAUGCUACAUGCUGAUGUGAUAAUAUUGACAAUAAUAAAAAUCUCAAAUCUUUACACAGUGAUAAUUCGAACAUGAGACCUCAAUAUUUAUAGGACUUUGAACAUAUUUAAUCCUUAUUCUUAUCCUAAAAGAUUUUACAUUGUCCACUAAAUCUGACUUAAUAUUUAAUCCAUAUCUCAGGGACUAGUAAGAAAGUUCAAGAAAGCGCACGAGGAAUUUGAUCAAAUGUUAGAGCAAAUCAUCAAAGAUCAUGAGGCUCCUUCUCGUCUUAGCGACCAGAAAAACGGGCAAUCUAUUGACUUCACUGACACAUUGCUAUCACAUAUGAAGCAAUCAAAGGACAAACAUAUUAUUAACAAAACAAAUCUCAAGGCUAUUUUGUUGGAUAUUAUUAUCGGAUCACUUGACACAACUAUCAUGACGACUGAUUGGGCUAUGUCAGAACUACUGAGGCACCCGAAGGCUAUGACGAAACUUCAAGAUGAGUUAAAGAAUGUAGUGGGUAUGGGGAGGGUGGUAGAAGAAGAUGACAUACCAAAGUUGCCAUACCUCAAUAUGGUGGUGAAAGAGACCUUUAGGAUACACCCACCUGCACCCCUCCUCGUACCUCGCGAGUGUUUGGAAGAUAUAACAAUCAAUGGUUAUUUCAUUGCGAAAAAGUCACGGGUUUUAGUCAAUUCUUGGACAAUAGGACGAGAUCCUAAAAUUUGGUCAGAUAAUGCUGAGGAUUUUUAUCCAGACAGAUUUCAAAACACCGACACAGAUUCUCAUGGACUCCAUUUUCAAUUUCUACCAUUUGGUUCCGGUCGUAGACGCUGUCCCGGGAUGCAAUUGGGUUUAACUACCGUUCCGUUGGUUCUAGCUCAGUUAGUGCAUUGCUUCAAUUGGGAGCUUCCAUUGGGCAUGUCUGCCAAUGACUUAGACAUGACGGAGGAAUUUGGCCUUACAACGCCAAGAGUUCAAAAUUUGCUAGCGAUUCCAACUUAUCGCUUAGUAAAUGAAGGUAAUUGAAUGCAUCAAACCUCGUGACAAAGCAAGAAACUAUUUUAAUGUGUUUUUCAAUUUAUGUCUUUCUUUGUUUGUCUCUUAAUAAGAUCUUCAUGUGCGCACAGAGCUUCUUUGCAGCCCUUGGAUCGAUCAUACCUAAGAGAUUAUGCUGAUUUUUUUUAUUUUGGCACUGUAAUAAUUUGAUAAUCCUAUUACUCAUGAUGGGUUUCAAUACGUUAAGUCGGCGCAUAUCAUCAUGUAUUUGAACAUUGCAUGUUAUUUUCCUUUAGACAAAUCUCUCUAGCCCAACAACCAACAUAAAAAUUGGUUUCAAAACAAACAACCCAACACAAUUGGUAGCUAGAUAGCUGAGUUCGUUAAGCAUUUAUUUGAGAGUUUGAUUCUUGAGCAGUGUAUAUAGAGAAAGAUUUGUUGAAAAAGACUUACCCGCUCAAUCUAGAGCUGGGUACAAGGGUGGCCCACUCCGCACAAGCCUGCUUCGUGUUGCUUCGCCCCGCGUAGGCCCGCAUUUUAGCAGUCCUCUAUUUUCCGGGCUAUAACCCGCAGUAGUCCGCGGUUUUGCGGGCCGAUCCAUGGACUUUGGCAUCUCUUACCCCUUUUUUGCCUUUGUAGGCCUGCCCCGCAUUGACCCCCCCCCCCCCCCGCACUGGCCCGCUUCGCGUAGGCCCAUAUUUUAGCGGUCCUCUAUUUUCCGGGCUACAGCCCGCACUAGUCCACGGUCUCGCCGGCCGGCCCGCGUACUUCGACCCGCUUACCCAGCUCUAGCUUAAUCUAAUCUCAGAUCAUUGAAUAGAUUAGUCUUGGUGCUGCCAACUAUCAAAUACUUAAUAAAAAAUGGCUUAAAAGCACUUUUGGUCCCACAAAUUUCUAUUGUGUAAAUAGAGUCUUUAAUCUUUAAAAAUAUCACUCUUAAUCCCCAAUGUUACCCUCCAUCAACCUUCUUUGCAAUGGCUGAAGCUUGAAUUUUAUUUUUUUGAGGACCAUAGUAAAAUUUUAAUACGCAUAUAUACUUUCUUGGUUAUUUGGUGAGUUUCAGAUCAAAUUUCAGUAAAUAAACCAAAAUAUCUUUAUUAGAAAAACACAUAUGUAUACAACAAAAAUGAAAAAGAUUAACCUAACUUAUGUACAGGAACAAUAGAAAAUUACUAUAAGUUGUACUAAUAAUCUUUGAAAUUUUCUAUUUAGUUUUUUUUUCUUCAAGUUUUGGAUUAUUGGUAUAUAUAUUUUUUCCUUUAGAUAGCAUUUUUAUAUUUAUAAUCAAAAUUCUUUCUCUUAAUAAAAGAAUUUAUUCUUUAAUUUUUGGUUAUUAAUUUUUUGGGACAAGCUUCCAUAUGCCAUUUUUCUGAAGAGGCAGGGGUGCCCCCCUUUCCUAGCCAUUGAUUUAUAAUAUUUUAAUUGAACGAUCCGGAUCAGUUGAGGAAGAUAAUUAUGGCUUGGUCCUAUGCACUAGUCAAAAUAUAUCUCUGGUCCUAUUACAUUUUAUAUUCACGUAAAUGACUGUAAAGUUUAUGCAAUCCAUUAUAGACCCUAUGAGUUUUCAUAUCUAAAAAUUAGUCCUAACUAUAUAUACACAAAACCAUGAAUUAAAUUCAUUUUAUGCAUCCAAAAUCUGAAGGAUCCAUUGCUCUUCUCUCUUCUCCAAACUUACUUUCUCCUUCUCCUACAAGUGACAAUGGAUUAAAACAAAUGAGGAUGGAGAGUGGUGGAUCCAAAAGUGGGGAUUGUGCAUUGAUGAGUUGUGGAUCUAAAACUGGGGUUGUCCAUGUCAAAAAAUAUGUUUAUGGUUUUGUGAUAACAAUCUCAUAGAUAAGUAUAGUGAAAGAAUAGAAAAAUAAUUGCAUAAAACUAUUCUCACUUUCUGGGUUCCAUAAGUGGUAACUAGUUAGGAAAAAUAAUUUUAUGUUGUUGUUUGUUCAAUGUUUGGUGAGAAUUUGUGCAAAAUCUGUGUCUCCUUGAUGUUCCUCGUCAAGUCACAGUCCCAACAAGUCAUACUAGAGCUUUGAUGGUGACUCGAGGUGGUCGGAAUCAUCAUUUUCGAAAAUGACCCAUUUUUAAAAGUUCCUGAAAUGAAAAUCUGAGGUCAUAGAUGGAUUCAGAAGGUUGAGACGAGUCCGGAACAAGUUCCGGAAUCUCAAACGGAGCCUGGACGAAGCUACACUCUCCCGCACUUGCCGGCGAGGUGGCCGGAGAGUGAGCCCACUCUCGGCCACGCGCUCCACUCGCGCUAGAGGAAGAAGGAGAGUGGCGGCCACUCUCGGCUAUGAGACACACGCGCCUGAUGACGUCAGAGACGCUGAUACGGCUUGUUCUCAUGCUGACAUGUGACAGAAUGUGUUUUUUGGAAAUUUUGGGUCAUUUUUAUCCGUUUUGGGUUCAAGAGGAGUCGAUUCUAAGGUUUUCGACCGUUCCGGACGCAAUGGUGUGGUUCUUUUCUUGAAAAUCUUUCCAGAUUUGCAAAUAGGACCAGAUAUUGGCCUUUGAAUAAACUUAAGUAAUGUGUUUUUUUAAUAAAUUUGGUCAUUUUUAUCCGUUUUGGGUACAAGGGGAGCCGAUUCUAAGGUUUUCGACCAUUCCAGAAGCAACGGUGGUAUUCGUUUCAUGAAAAUCUUUCCAAAUUUGCGGAUAUGAUUAGAUCAAUUCUAAUAUUUAAAUGAAUACUAGUGAAUUGAUGGAUAAUGACACUUUUAACCUAAUUUAGUUAUUCUAAAGUCUACGUUAAACUAGGAUUAUCCAUUUUAAUGACCUCUUAACUUAACGUUAGUUAUUCCAUUGACCCUUUUAAACGAAUGUUAGUUAUACUAUUAUCUCGAUUAGACUAGGGUUAGUUAUUCUAAUGACCCUCCUAACUGAAGCUUAGUUAUACUAUAGUCUUAGUUAGACUAGAGUCUGUUAUUCUAUAGUCUCAGUUAAACUAGAGCUUGAAAUUCUAUAGUCUCAGUUAAACUAUAGCUUAAAUCAGGUUUAUCUAUUAUAGUGGUUUUCUUAACUUAAGAUUAGUCAACUUGUGUUAGCGCAAAAAAAAAAAAUCAAAGUAUGAAAAAAAGGGCCAUCAGCCAAACAAAAUUCCAACAGAAUUGGCUAAUGCAAAAAAGCCCAGAUAUGCGUUUUUUGCACCAAAAAAGGAGGGGUCAGCAGCAAAAAAAACUAGCCCAAGAAAAAAAACAAUCAAAUCCUUAUAGAAAAGUGAAGGGCCAUCAGCCAAACAAAAAAAACCAACAAAAUGGGCUAAUGCAAAAAGGCCUAGAUAUGUGUUUUUUACACAAAAAAGGAGGGGCCAGCAGAUGAAAAAAAAAAACCUAGCCCAUUUUUGUUUUUUUUCCGAGUUCUUUUUUCUUCUGAUUUCAUUUAUUCUGAUUUCAUUUAUGAGCUUUUUCUAAGGAUUUUUCAAUAUCAAAAACAUACUUUUGAGACUUUAAUUCACAGUUUUUGAAAUUAAUAAAAUCUCAUUUUGAUUGAUUAAUCUGAGUUAAAAUAAAUGAUUAACUAACUGUUGGUUGUUAUUAUAAAUACUCUUAAUUAUGUUGAUAAUCAUAAUAAGGAGGAGGGAUGAAAAAAUGAACUAAAGAAGAUGGAGAGGAAUCUUAUCCUUCUCGACCACUUUAAGCAUUAACUUCAUGAUGAUUAAACUCUUUGAUUUGGACCCUCGAGAGUUACGACACACCUCAGAGAACCCAAUGAUGAAGAGGAAACUAUAGAACAUUUACACUUGGACCUUGAACUAGGGUUAGUUAUUUCAUAGUCCUGAUUAAACUAUGAUUAUAUGUUCUACUAACUUUAAUAACCUAAGGUUAGUUAUUCAAUAGUCCCUAGCUAGGGUUAGUUAUUCUAGUUACACUCUUAACUUAAGGUUAGUUGUUUUAAUAGUUCCGAUUAAACUAGAGUAUCUAUUCUAAUGACCAUCUUGUUAGGACAGGCCACAAUUAUAGCAUCUAUAAAGAAUAUUCGAUCAAGAUGAACCAUAUGGAUGAUCAAGAUGAAACAUGUGGAUGAUCAGGAUGAACAUGAUGGAUGAUUGUGAUCUUGAUGAUGGAUGUCAUGAUGGGUGGUCAAUAUGAUCAUGAUAGAUGAUUAAGAUGAACCCGAUGGAUAGCCAGGAUGAAACUCAUGGAGGAUCAAAAUUGUCACGAUGGAUGGUCAAAAUGAAAUUGAUGUUAGAUUAUAUUUAUAUAAAAAGGUCAAGAGUGACUUGUCAGAAAGUCGACCAUGUUGAACAACACAUCGUUAGCUAAUCUCGAUCUUAAGUUCCUAAUAUUAGCUAGUUCAAGCAAGAUUAUUGACAUGUCAAAACAACAUAACCAGGCAUAUAAAGCUUUUAAGUUUUUAAGAUUAGAUAUUUCGGUUAAGAUCAACUUGUCGAAACAACCUGAUAAAGCUUUCAAGGUUGAUAAGUUACAAAGAUUAGCCAACUUGACGUGUUCAUACAAUCAAAAGAUUAAUUGGAUGUAUGUGUAAAGUGUAAACAAAGUUUACACUGUCGGUGCAUACACAUUUAAUCAUUCAAGUAAAUAACUGAUUUUAUUCUACUAAUAAUUAAAUAGAGAUUAAUUUUCAUGCACUGACAGUGUAAAUGAGUUUACACAGGUUCAAUCAUAUCUCAAUUUUUUGGCUCAUAUUUAAUUUUAAAUUUAAUAAUAUUUAAAAUAAGAAAUAGAAUGUUGUGAUUGAAUGAUUGGGUAAAACCUUUUAUACUGUGAGUACAUAAAAAUUAACAUGAACGAAAUAACCUGAUUUUAAUUUUUGGCGCUCAAAAUUUAAAUUUUCCCGCUCAUAUUUUGAUUUUUUUGAAAUUAAAACACUGAUUUUAGUCAAUUGAUUUUACGUGUGAGCUCCUCCUUUUUUGGCUUAUUUUAAUCUUUAUGCUCCUUUCAGAGUUCCCGCUCUUCCUUCUUUUAGUUUCCCUCUCUUUUUCAUCUGUCAAAGUAUUCAGGACUCAAUUGGAGAAGAAAAAUUAAAAAAUUCUAGAAAUCUUAUCUCUAUCCUACUUGAGAUUUCCUAUCUCACUAAUCUGUCCUUUUCAUCUUACUCUCUCACAUUUUCACUAUCUCUUUAUCUCCACCUCUUCUGCAUCUCCUUAUCACUUUACAGUCGGAUCCAGUUCCUCUCCUGCCAAUCUCUCUCCGGCGUCUCACCGCACACGGCCGUUGAAGCUCAUGACCGCCGUCUCCGCCAAGGACCCAAACAUCGUCGCGUCUCAUCGUUCUAUCACCGCUCUCGGCGCUGGCCUGAUCACGACCGCCUUAUCCCACCCAUUGUGCCUCUCGCUGACGAAGCAAACCCAACCGCGUCUCGCCGUCUCCGAUUCUCUCAUUCAAUUUGUCGCCGUCAAGCUCAAGCCCCAUAUCCUUCAGAACGACUACCCCUGGUUUCCAAUUUCAAAUUUAGGAACACGAAACCUGUAACAUUGUACAAGAGGAAUGCAUAUUGUCUUGGCAUUUUAGAUUUUUUGUGGUUGUACCAGAGGACAUGACUAGGUGAAGAGUAGUACCUCGGACGGUGAGUUCAAUUUCCUACCUUCCGCUCUUAUGUUCAAUUUUUAAUUUUACUUCCUCUGUUAUUCAUCUCUUUCUCAUUUGGCUUACCAUUUGUCAGGAAAACAAAAUUCUGUGCAUAUGCUAAACUAGCCAUUAAAAAAAUUGACUUUGAUAUGAGGGUGUUUUUUUGGAUGAUUGGUCUAUCUUGGCUUAGAAACUGAUUUUUGGUGAUUUGUUUUCUGCAGCAAAAAGGGUUUUCUGUGAUACUUUCAGACAUGCGUCCAUCGGUUUCUGGAAUCACAAUCGGUUGUUGGCAGUGCUGCUUCUUCUGUUCAAGCUUCAGCUGAUGAUGAUGAUGAUUAUAUUCGGGAGGAGCAAAGUGUUGAUGAUCCAUCCGGUUCAAAUGAUAAGGGAGUCUUGCAAGUUGGAGGGAACCUUAUUAUAAAGAUUUUGGAGAGUGAAGAUUCCAAAGGUGGUUCAUUUUUCUCAAGACUAGUUUUAUUCCAGCUGAUUUGGUUGCGUAAUGUGUUUAUUUAAUCUCUUUUGAAAUCUUCUGCUGCAGAAAUCAGUCAGAUUUGUAAACCAUUAUUUAGAAAGUCAUCGUAGCUGAGGCCUAAAGCCACAAGACCUUCCUCAAGAGAGAUCUAUUUGAUAUGUCAUGGUUUAAAGCCAGACGCAAAGACAUAGGUUGUUUUAUACGAUAUUCUUUGUCUGGGUGAACAUUAGGGAUGAACAACAUACAAAACUCACCUUCUCCUUUAUUUUUUUAUGUUCAUUUUCAUUACUAUAUUUGUGCUUGAUUUUGUUAAAAGGGUGUUCUACUUUUGGGCUCUACUAUGGUCAUGGGAUAUUUUCUAUUCUUAAUUUAAUUAUAAUAAACUACUUUUAAGAUCAGUCGGGGACCAUAUAAGAGACUAUCAAAUUUUUUACCUUGUGCUCAAACUGGAUUUUCUAAUAUUUUUGUUAUGAUCUUAUGUUCCUGAUUUAAUUUAUACCAUUUUAAACUUAAAUUAACAGGAUCUGUUGCAACAAUGGGUAAGAACCAUUUGUGAGUUUAGUGACAUAAUUUGAUUGUCACCUUGGUUUCAAUUGUGCAUGACACUCAUUUGUUUCUUGCCUUGUUUACUUUGUGUUUUCCUGAAUGAUUUUCUUGUUUGCUGUCUGACAAGUUUUUAGUUUCAGGCACACUAGUUGUUCAAUGAAAUAGGAUAAAUGUGCGAAAGCAAGAAUCAUGAAGGUGAAAGAGCAACCCGUUUUAGGCUGAGUAGCACCUUAUUGAAUCGCACCUCCAAUAUUUUGUUCAUUGUGAGAGGUCCAUUUGAAAAAUCUGGGAAUUUUUACAUUAUUCCUUCGAUUUGGGUGCCUCUCUCUAUCUCUCUCUGUCGAGUUCACCAAUUUCUUUGUCUAUCAUCACUAAUUCCUUUGUUUAUGUUCUGCAUAGUGAGAUUAAUUGAUUGCUUUAAAGAAGUCAAUUUAUGAGACUGGGCAUUCAAGGGAGUUCCAGUGAUUUGGUUACCGAGGUAUAUGGACUAUGUAGUGGAUUAUCUUUCACAAAUCGUACCGACUGUCUAGCGCAAGUUGAUCCAGGUUUCUCCUUCCUCGACCUUUCACAUUUUUUUAUGUGAAUUUAAUUUACAUUAUGAAUUCUUUAUUGAUUUGGGUUUGUGGAAAGUUCAGGACUUUCAUGUUUUAACCAUGUGAUGUGUCCAAUUGCAAUGAGUAAUGUUCAAAAUCACUCUUUGUCAUCAAAUGUUGGCACAUCAAAUUUGCGAUUGAAAUUUAAGAAACGUGAACUUUACUACGUAAUGCAUCCAAAUGGUAAAGCUCUUAAUUCAUUGUUGAUUUUUCUUUGGCCAUUCUCAUGAUUUGGUACUGUUAAAUUGUGCUAUUAACUUUUGAUUUUCUAUAGUGAUUGUGCAUGUUUUGUCUUUAUCUACUUUCUUCUUUCAUCUGUUUGUUGGCUACUUAGAUAUAUGACAUACUCCUAUUUUCUCAGAAUCAAUUAAUUUCCACACAUGCGCAUAGUGUGCUACUUGUUUCUAAUUUUGUUUCAUUGACUCCAUGUUCUGUGGUGCUAAAAUUAACUUGUGGCAGUUUGUAGGAGGAAAAAGGGUGGAUGGUUUCGUGUCUGAGAUCAUUUGGUCAUGCUAAUAUUGACUGUUUAAUAGGGAGGAUAAAGGAUAAAUUGUAAUGCUGUUUGGAAUGAAGGAGGAUAAAUUGUAAUGAAGGAGAUUGACAUCUGGUAUUGAUUGUAUUUGUUUAUAUAUGGUAAAGUGGCCAGAAAUUUCCUUUAGAUCAGAAAAGUAGAAAUGAAAGGUAGAGUGGAUCGUCUACAUUCACUGAGUGCAUGUUUGUAAAUUUAAUAGAUUUUCUCAUUUGGGGGUUAAAUGAUUCUGGAAGAAGCUAUCAGAAGUAAUUCUUACAUAGGGAAAAAUGAUCAUGAGAGAGUUAAAGUAGAUCCAAAAAUGGUGAAAAUUAGCUAUAUGUAUUACAGAGGAAAACAUUUUGAGGAUUGAUCGAUAAAAUUAAAUUAUCGCAUGAUAAUCCCAAUACAAGCAACCAGGAAACUCUAUAAAUGUCUAUACCAGCUUUUCCAUUUCUAAGUAUCUAGGAGAAUUAAAUUUAGUAGGUAUACGCAUAAUGUACAAUAUUGUUUUAAUUGCAUUAACAGUACAAAAAAGAAGAAAUUGUUUGUUAUGGAAUACUGGCUUAACUUUUCCUUCAAUGAAUUUCAUAAUAAAGUACAAAAAAAUGUGGAUUCCAUACAUUAAUUCAUUUGUGGGGCACUAUGAUCUAUUUGACUAUAGUAUAAGGAUCCAUCUCACACAUAACAUUACAUGUGCACAUUUCAUAUUAGAUGAUUUAGUUUCUAGCUUACUUUUUAAUAUUAUCAGUGUUACUUUUUAAUGGCUUACUUCAUUUUUGAGUCACUUGGUAUUCCAGUUCUACUGAGCUAGGUGUAUAUAACUUUGCUGUUUUUCACUGUUUCUUGGUGCAGAAAUUAGACCUAACACAACUAAGCCUUUGGAUUCUGAGUGUUUUUCCUCAAAAACUUGUGCUUCCUAGGCAAUUCUAUUUGCUUCAUUUUUUUUAUUCUCAACUAAUUGGAUCAAUUGCAUGAUUUAGUGAAGUUCCAACCCUGAUUAUUUGUUCCAGCCUUGGAACCACCUUGAAAAAUGAAUUUUGUCACUGACAUUCCUCCAGUCAGUGUUGAGAAAAAUAUUUUUUUUCUUCUCUUUUGAUGCCAAUCCUAUAAGAUAGCAAGAACAUGAACAUUUUUGGCAGAGAAUCAAAUAGCUUAUGGAGGAAUGUUGUGGUUGAAAGAUAUUCGCAAGACCCUUUGUCACUGCUCUGGCACUUAGAAUUAUCAAACCCUUCGGUUGGAUCCAUUGUAAUCCGGGACACUUAGAAUUAUCAAACCCUUCGGUUGGAUCCAUUGUAAUCCGGGACAUAUGGAAGGUGCUUAUAAAUGAUGAUUUGAUUUCUGCCGGUUUCAUGGAAAACCUUCUGGUUGUUGUGGGAGAUGGCAAGAAAACGAAGUUCUGGAAGGACCCAUGGGUAACUGAUUCUGCCCUUUGCAAUGUAUUCCCUAGACUGUAUGCUUUGAGUGAAAACAAAGAAGCCAGAAUUGCAGAUGUGGGCUCUUUCUCCAGAGGGUCAUGGGAUUGGUCAUUAAUAUUUCGCAGAUCGUUUUUUACAUGGGAGGAGGAACUUUACUCUUAGCUCCUGGUCUCGAUCAACUCCAUUAUUCCAGCUUCCUUGGGGGGGAGAUUACCUGAUAUGGUGUCUUAAUCAAAAGGGCUUCUUCUCGGUUAAGGAGCUUUGCAAUUAGGCUGAAGAUCAAACCUUCAUUAACCGUACUUGGCAAGUUCCUAAAAAUGUAGCAAAACUUAUUCCUCCCAAAGUUGCUCUCUUUUUCUGGCAGGCACAGAAGAACAAAAUUGCAACUAGAGCCAAUUUAAUUUCUAGAGGUAUUGAUCUAGCUGACUCAUCUUCUUGCCCUCUUUGCAUGACCAUUACAGAAACUUGCUCUCAUCUAUUUCUACACUGUAAUUACACUUGGUCUCUGUGGUGCUCGAUUGUAAAUCGUGAAGGUUUUUAUUGGGUUGUUCCUUCGUCUCUAGAAGGACUCAUCUCUGAAUGGGACCAUUUACCCAAACUUUCUGACAAGCUGCUUUGGAGUUUAAUACCAUAUGCGCUAUCAUGGUCAAUUUGGAUUGAAAGGAAUAAUGUGUGCUUUAAUCAGAAGACUUUCAAUUGUACAGAAGUAUGGGAUCUUCAUCUCUCACGAAUUGGGUGGUGGACGCAUGAUUUGCUCCUUCAAAAUGCUUACAGUAUUGAACAAUUGGCCAGGAAUUUUGAGCUAAUCAGAUUUGGGUCCAAAUUGCCUACUGCAAGACAUGCUGGCUGGACUCCUCCUGAAGUGGGUUUAAUUAAAAUUAACGUAGAUGGUGUUGCCAGAGGAUCACCGGGAAGAUGUGGUAUCGGUGGUAUAUUUCGAAAUAGUGAUAAUGAGAUUCUGGGUUUUUUCUCUAAACAUGUUGGGGAAGGCUUUGCUUUUGAAGCUGAGGUGUGGGCGAUCUUUGAGGCACUUACAAUCUGUGUUAACCGACAAUUGAGAAAUCUAACAAUUGAAAGUGAUUCUUCUCUAGCUGUCGGUUGGGUCAAUAAUCGAAGCAACAGACCAUGGAAAUUGUUGAACAAGCUUAACCAGAUUGACCUGUGGGUUGCGGAGGUAAAUUGUUUAUCGGUGAAACACAUUUUUAGAGAGGCAAACGGCGAAGUUGAUAAAUUGGCUAAGCGAGGAGCUGAUCAUCCGAGGGACUUAUAUUACUUCAAGACUUCCAGCCAUCAUCAAUAGUACUGGAUUUUUUUCUCCGAGGGUCGAGUAGUAGUGUAAACCGUGUGGGAAUUGUAUUCUAUAUUGGCUAGCUUUCCUUAUCUUUCUAGUAGGUUGUUUUAAGCUUGCGGUUUCAUGUACUUCACUUUGCCUAAGUUAUAUCUCCUCUGCUUGUUAUCUCUGUUUUGUGGUUGGUUGCCUUGGUUAGAGUACUCUUUUUCCUCUCCUUGGGUUUUUCCCACUGGGUUUUCCCUUGGAGAGGUUUUGAUGAGGCUUUCUCCUUGGCCGGGUUUCCUAACCACAUCUCUUUAGCAGUUUUGUGAGACUUUUUGUCCACAUGAGAGGAUUGUUCUCAUGGCUUUAUUCUUCAUUUUCUAUAUAUAUAUAUAUAUAUAUAUAUAUAUAUAUAUAUAUAUAUAUAUAUAUAUAUAUAUAUAUAUCAGUUGUUUCUCAAAAAAAAAAAAAACAAUAAAAUUAUUUUGUCCAAUUCCUUGUGACAGGAUUUAUUCUUAACUAGGUAAUAUGGGAUAAUUAUAUCUUCACACCUCAAAAAUGAGGUGUGGAGAAGUGGAGGAAGAGAGAGAUAGGAAGAAAGGAGAGAGAAAGUAAAGAUGUGAUAAAUGAUUUGAUUGAUAGAAAAAAGAGAAAUAAAUAGAAAUAAAGGUGGAAAAUAAGUGGAAAUGUGUGUAUAUAUCAUAAUUCGGUAAUAUGUGAUAUGUAGGGGGCGAUAAGUAACAAGAUCAAAUUUAUAAUAAAUUCUUAAACUAGUUUUCUUUGCACAAGACAUUGUUAGGAAUUGGAUGAUACUUGACCGAACUGCAAAUAGCAUAUUCAGGCUCUCAAUAUAGUAUAGCUUAAAAUCUAGUGUUUCACAAAGUCACCAACAAAUUUUGAAAAAAAAAGAAGAGGUGAUGAUUCAAGUGCUACACAAAGUCAAGAAACUACUAUGUUAACUCAAGAUGCGCUUACAGAAGUAAUGACACUUUAAGCCAAUUUGGCAUCAAUAAUUCCACUAGUUUAUUUGUUGUACAAAUUUUAUGAUCAUAGGGUUCUUUAAUCACAUACAGCUAGUGAAAAACCAAAUCUCAGCAAUCAGAGAUGGCGUAUGAAUAUAGAAGAGUUGAGAUAAGGUCCAACGAAAUAUGUGAGAGGAUGUGUUUAAGUGCAUUGUUAAGUGUGUGGAUAUGAAGUGAUGGAGCACAAUGACAUAAAGUUAAAGUGCAUCAGGAAGCGUGUCGACAUAAAGCUGACAUAAAGAUGAUGACAUCGUGUAACGUGUUGACAUAAAUGGUAAAUGGUGUAACCUAAUUAAUUGAGUUAGGAUUUAUUUACACCUUAAUUUCACUUUUACUUCACUUUUUUAUUUAUUUGUCUCUUAUCUUUCAAUCAUAUUAUCACAUAUCACAUCUCUUUUUUUUUUCUCUCUCUCUCUUUCUUCCUAUAACUCUAUUCUUUCCACCUCUUUCACACUUUUGAUGUUUCUGCAAGGUGGCUUAGACCACAGGCAUAUCAAUGUGACGUAUUGGUAGCCAAGGAAAUCCUAUAAUGCACCCUAAACACACACGUGGUUUCACUUGCACCAUUCAUGAAUGUACUUCAAUGCAAGAAAUUCUAUUUUAUUUAGUCUGUCCAGUUUUUAGACUUGGAGUGUCUAUUGCACAAGGACUGUCAGAUUGAUUUGAGGUGCAUUUCAUUAAAGCGCCACUUUACUUUGUAACUUAUGUCCCUUUAUGCAAUUUGGUAAAAGAAAUAUUUAUUUACUAUUAUGAGUAUUCUCCUCUUUCUCUUUUAUAGCAACGAAUAAUAGCAUUAGGUACAGAUUGUAAUGUACAAUCUUAAUGCGCAUAUGGAGCUCACUUUUACAAAAUUUGGUGCAAUAUUGGGCAUAUUCACAAAACUAUGGUAUACAGGAAAAUUGAAAAAAGAGAUGGCUUCUGAUUUACGUUGUUAGCAUAAUAAUUAAAUCUAGUCUAAGAUCAGGAAGCAUAUGAAUUUCGAGGUAGCCUUGCAAUUAAGAAUGGUGGUCUCUUAAAUUUGCACCCAGGAAUAAUUACAUAGACAGUUCUUGUUGGUCUUUAAUGGUCCUAUUGGCCUAGCUUACUACCUCUGAUAAAGUAGUUUCAACAGAUCUGUAAUACAAACUUCAGCCCCUUUGACUUUAAAUUUAAAUUUACAUCUUCCUAAACCUUUGUUUUUCCCCGUUUCAAAUUUAUCCCUUUUUUUUGGGAAAAAAAAACCUGGCUUUGUUGUUAAAAAUAAAAGGGUUAAUGGUCAAAUUGGUCCCUGUGUUUGUAGUGAAUUUUGAUUUUAGUCCCUCCCCGGAAAAAACUAGCCGAUAUCUCCCUGUAGUUGCAAGCAUUUUGGUUCUAGUCCUCACAGGAGGUCGGAGCUCCGGUGAGAGUACUGAGUGGCAGGCCAGAGAUGACAUGGCAUUAUCCACGUCAUUUUCAAUUUAUUUAUAUUUCCACGUAAAUAAUUAAUAACUAAAUUAAAUAAAAUUAUUAAUUCAUUCAAAAAUAAAAUCUAGAAAAUAUUGGGAAAAAUUAAAAUCAAAAUUUUAUAAACCCUAAUCCCCCUGCAUCUUCUCAAUCAAGCCUCUCUUUCUCUUCCCCACCCGGUUCCCAAUCUGAGCAGCAAAAAUCACCACCAUUCCAUUCCAGGAAUCAAAACCAACUCAAACCUCAAAACGGUGGUUUGACCUUCUCGCCUCACAACUCUCUUUCUCACCUUUGACCUUCCAUAAUCUUUUACGCGCUGGUGGUUUCAAUGGAGGUGCCACCUAGAACGGUGGUCGUGGCUUGGUGCGGUGGGUCGUUCAUCGUUGGAAUGAGAGCUUAGGUCGACGGAAAUAAAGGUUGUGGCAGACUAGCGGUGAAGGAGCAGAACCAGAUCGAGACCCCACUCACCCAGAUCGCGAAUCCGGUUUCUUGCGAACUCAAAAAGCGAAUCGCCCCUGGAUCCGCCUUCACCACCCCAUGUCGCCGCCGUUGUCGUCCUAAACAACCGAAGAGCCUUGAUGGGGAUACGUUCCAGUUGCUCAGUCAUGUCGGUUUUCUGGGUUUUGAUAUGUGUGGGUUAUGAAUCUGGAUUUUGUGGAUUACAUGGAUCUGGGUUAUGUGGGUUUUGAAUUUGGGUUUUGAAAACGAUUCAAUUGAUCUGGGUUAUGUGGAUUCUACGGAUUUGGCCAUUGAGUUUCUAACUAGAAUUUGUGUUGUUUUCUGGGUUUUCAAUGUUUGGCCAUUUUGGACUUUUUUCGUUUUCUGGGUUUGAUGAUGAGUUUGAAGAUGGAGAUGAUUAAAGAAGGAUGAAGGGGAAGAAGAUGAAGAUGAUUAAGACAUUUGAGCUUUUGUAUUUUUCACUUUAGUCAGGUCUGAAGUGUGGGCGUGGAUGGUAUUAUGUCAUGAAAUAUAUGAUGAGGAAAUAACUGAUAUGUUGGGUGCUGCAGAAAUUUUGUUAGGCGCACAUAAGGUGGUCAUGGUUGCUGAAAUCGUGGAUAUGGUUCUAAAUCUACCUUGUUAGGCGUGGAUAUGGUUCUUAGUACUUUGAACAAUUUUUGAAUUAAUUAAUAAUUUUAUUUCAUUUAGUUAUUAAUUAUUUACGUGGAAAUAUAAAUAAAUUAAAAAUGACGUGGAUAAUGCCAUGUCAUCUCUGGCCUGCCACUCAGCACUCUCACUGGAGCUCCGACCUCCGGUGAGGACUAGAACCAAAAUGCUUGCAACUACAGGGAGAUAUCGGCUAGUUUUUUUCGGGGAGGGACUAAAAUCAAAAUUCACUACAAACACAGGGACCAAUUUGACCAUUAUCCCAAAAUAAAAUUAUACAAAAAGAAAGUAGUACUUAGGGAACUAAUUCUUUGGAAAUUAAAUGGACGCAAGACUUGUUUAACUAAGGUGAGAAAAGAAAGUUGAACAGCCACAAUAACCGUUAAAAACUGGCCACUAUAAUGCUAGUCAUUCCACUAAAAAAAAAGACAAUCUAGAGAGCUGAAUCUAAAAGUUAAAGUUACAUUAAAAAUGUAGGAGCUUAAUACAGUGACACACAAUAAUUACCAUUCUGACAAAGUAAUGCUACUAAAUUAAGGGUAAAUAGCUCCCAACUUGCACAAAUUUUCUUCAAUUUGAGGCGAAGAAGAGGAAGAACUAUAGAACUCUCCUACUAAAAAUAAUAGACAAAUUAUAUGAGUCACUUACAAAGAACACAUUUGAAAAGUAAAAGCAACGUAAACAAAAUUUAGAUAAGAGGCUAACUUUGCCGGUUAAUAGUGGAGGCAUAAAAUCAAAGUGUAUGGAGCAUAAAAUUUCAACAGCAAUAAAAAGAUAAACAUAACAUUAUGAUGAAAUGUAACUCAUGGAAACUCAAAAACUUACUCAAUGACUCUUACUCCAUGCCACCAAGAACCAUUUUUUUCAACGAAUAAAAAUAUUCACAUCCCAAAGAUGAAUUUCCGAGGAUGAAUCUCACUUCAAACACAAACACAAAUUCAAUUCAUAAGACAAAGCAAUCACUGAGCCCAUACUUUGUUAGCUUCCAGCACUGGUCUUGCAUCAAGCUUAUCAAGGGUGAAAUCACAACCACCACUUUCCCAAUUAACAAUGAGGAAUCUGAAAGCACAGGGACUUACCUGCAUAGAAAAAACCUUCCUGUAAAUAAAUACACAAUUACUAAGAAGCACACAAGAUUAAUCAGAGAGAAAUAACAAAACCAGAUCCUGUUGCAGCAAGAACAAGACAAUCUUCAUUUGCAACCCAAGCAGCUAGGGCUUCCUUCUGAAAACUUUUCAAUGCUGAAAACCAAAAAUGCUUUUGCAACAACUUGCUAACUCUGUGCUCCCAAUCAGAUGCUACAUCCAAAUCUCCAUUCACAUCAGAGUCGCUGACGACAAAGGGAAACUCCGGGACGGUCUCGAUGCGGUGGCCGCGGGCGGGCGAGGAUGAAUGACGGAACAACGGAGGUUGCGAUGGCGGAGACCAGGGCGUGGCGCUUCUGGUUCACGUUGAUCUUGCGGUGCCAGCGACGCCAGAUCUUUGUGGGAGCGAACAUGUGACCACCACGACACAUGUUUCCGAAAGCUCCCUGGCCAGCAUGGUGGGUACAACCACCGGGGACACGGGGGAUACGGGAGAAAGCACGACCAGUUCCUCAAGACUCGGCGAAGCACUGGUGGCCGGCGCGACGGGAGACGGCGAAAGGCUGGCGGCUAUUUUUGGAGAUGUUGAAAUGGGCGAAAUUUUCGAUGUCAGGACGGAUUGAAGCUCUCAUGACAUUAGGGAUGGAAUGGUGGUGGCAGCAUCGGAGGACGCAUCGUCUCUUUUUCUGGUGGUGUGGCCGUGGCUGUUGUGGCUCGCCUGGAAUAGAGGAGGAUGUUGUGGCUCGCUUGGAACAGAGGAGGAGACGAUGGUGCACAACUCUGUCGAGGAAGGAGGAGCCAUAGAAGAAGAGUGGAACAUGGUGAUGUUUCAGCAGAAAGAAAACGAGAGAGAAGGAGAGUGAUGAGAGAGUGAGAGCAUGAAUCAGUUAGAUGAGGGAGAGAGUAAGCGGAUCUGAUUUGAUGAGAGAGGAGAGAUAUGUGCUUGAGAUGAGAGUAUUGAGAUAAGGAGGAGAGAGAGUACAUAGGUGCCUACAUCUCAUUGGUUGAAGGGGAAAGUUGAGAGGGAAAGUUAAGAGAGAAAAUUGGGAGGGAAAGUUGAAAGGGAAAGUUAAGAGGGAAAGUUGGGGGGAAAGUCAAGAGGGAAAGUUGAGAGGGAAAGUUGAAAAUUUGAGCACCUAAAAUCAGGUUGUUUCAGCUAUUUCGUUUGUUAAAUGAUUAAAGAUAUAUGCAAUGAUGGUGUAAACUUUGUUUACACAAACAUCUAAUUAAAUUUGGUUUGGUCAAAAAAUGUGUUUUUAUUUUAAUUGAACUUAAAAAUGAAUGUAAUUCUCUUUUCUAUGUUGUAUACAUUGAUUAGAUUGUUUCAACAAGUCGAGUUGGCUAAUCUUAGUAACUUAUCAACCUUAAAAGCUUAAUUAGGUUGUUUCGACAGGUCAAUCUUAACCAAAAUAUCUAAUCUUAAGAACUUAAAAGCCUCAUAUGCUUAUGUAAUUUUGGCAUAUCGAUCUUGCAUGAACUAGUUAAUAUUAUGAACUUAAGAUCAAGGUUAGCUAACUAUGUGUUGGUUCAAUAUCGGGUUCGUCCUUAUUAUCUAUCGGGUUCAUUCUAAUCAUCCAUCAGGAUCAUAUUGAGAUGGUGAACGAUCUCCUCAUCAUUAAUCACAUGCCACGGCAAUGUCUAUAGCUUAUGAGAUGGUGAAGAUUAAACUAAUACUAAUUGAUAUAUGAAAAGGAAAAUUCAAAUGCAUUGCACCAACAAUAUCUAUAGCAUAACUAAUUAGAUAGAUAUAGCUUAUCUUCUUAAGUAUCUAAUUUAAAGUUUGAUCUUUGAACGGAAUGUAUGAAUAAUUAUUUGUUGAGAGAUAUAUACUUAAUGCGAUCUCAGAAUCUCGAGAGAUUAAUAAUAUCAUUACCAGUUGUGGAUAUACCUUGUGAAAAAAAUACAUUACGUCAAAUAAUUAAAUGAGUAUCUUCAAGUAAUUAAUUAAUUAAUAUUGGAUUAAACUUAAGUAGUUUGAAAAGACAAUUAGUCUGCACCACUUGGCUAAAAUUAAAUAUGGUAAACAUCACACGUUAGGUGCCCAAUCAAAUAGUUAACAACCACUAAUAUAUGAUGUGAUCUGUGUUAUGGGGUGGUAGAUCAUAGGUCUUAUUCAAGCUCAAAACUGACAUGGGCUUCAACUUCACCUUUUUAAUGUACAUGCUAGAAUCCAAAAUUAAGAGUUAAAACUAGGAUAAGUUCAUUGUGAUCAAUGGUCGAUCCCUUCAUUACAGUACAACUAUAUAGAGCUUACAUUGAUAUAUUUACAUAUCUAUGAAAACAUAUGUAUAUAUGAACAUCAAUUUAAUCAGGGAAAUGCGUGUUGGUUAUAAUUUUUUCUUUGUUUUAAAUCAAUAUAUACUCAUCGGAGUGAAUUUUGAUCAUUUAGAUUUUCGCCAAACAACUUGUUCUAUGUUCCUUUUCUCAUGCCUUGAAUAAUGCUUAUUAGAGCAUUGUUCUUUCAUAUUAUCAAUGAAUAACUUGUGUUUACAUUGUUAGAAGUUCGUUUGACAAAAUACCAUUUUGCACUACUUUGAUCCAAUUGGAACACUAAACGAUGAAAUAUGAUGUUUAUAGGUUUUAAAAAGUAAAAACACAUAUAACUAGAAUUUACAAACCACUUGCCUUGAAGAGUUUAAAAGUAUCUAUCUUUACCUAAAUCUUUAAGUAUAUUUUUAUUUAUUUCACAUGUAAGAAAUAUGCAUUUUAAAAUACAUAUGUAUCUGUUAAUCUAAAUAGCAAAAAGUUGAAUUACAUUUUUGUGGUCAUUUGGCCACCAGUCUCCACCGGGAAAAGGAGAAAGUUCAAUUUCAUUAAACAUAUAGUCUUCAAUUUAAGUUAUAUGAAUAAGAAACACUAAAAAUGGUAGGGAAGAAUUAACUCCAUCUAAACGUUACUUAGAUUAAUUAGGAUUAGGAAGUCGCUUUGGCGCUUUGCCAACGCAAUUCAAAUUAGCAAAAAAAACACAUAUCUGGGCCUUUUUGCAUUAGCCCAUUCUGUUGGUUUUUUUUGUUUGGCUGAUGGACCUUCACUUUUCUAUAAGGAUUUGAUUGUUUUUUUUCUUGGGCUAGUUUUUUUUGCUGCUGACCCCUCCUUUUUUGGUGCCAAAAACGCAUAUCUGGGCUUUUUUGCAUUAGCCAAUUCUGUUGGUAUUUUGUUUGGCUGAUGACCUUUUUUUUUAUACUUUGACUCUUUUUUUUGCGCUAACACAAGUUGAUUAAUCUUAAGUUAAGAAAAUCACUAUAAUAGAUAAACCUGAUUUAAGCUCUAGUUUAACUAAGACUAUAGAAUAACAAGCUCUAGUUUAACUGAGACUAUAGAAUAACAAACUCUAGUCUAACUAAGACUAUAGUAUAACUAAGCUUCAGUUAGGAGGGUCAUUAGAAUAACUAACCAUAGUCUAAUCGAGAUAAUAGUAUAACUAACAUUCGUUUAAAAGGGUCAAUGGAAUAACUAACGUUAAGUUAAGAGGUCAAUAAAAUGGAUAAUCCUAGUUUAACGUAGACUUUAGAAUAACUAAAUUAGGUUAAAAGUGUCAUUAUCCAUCAAUUCACUAGUAUUCAUUUAAAUAUUAGAAUUGAUCUAAUUAUAUCCGCAAAUUUGGAAAGAUUUUCAUGAAACGAAUAUCACCGUUGCUUCUGGAAUGGUCGAAACCCUUAGAAUCGGCUCCUCUUGGACCCAAAACGGAUAAAAAUGACCAAAAUUAUUAAAAAAACACAUUACUUAAGUUUAUUCAAAGGCCAAUAUCUGGUCCUAUUUGCAAAUCUGGAAAGAUUUUUAAGAAAUGAACCACACCAUUGCGUCCGGAACGAUCGAAAACCUUAGAAUCGACUCCUCUUGGACCCAAAACGGAUAAAAAUGACCCAAAAUUUCCAAAAAACACAUUCUGCCACAUGCCAGCACGAGAACAAGCUACGUCAGCGUCUCUGACGUCAUCAGGCGCGUGUGUCUCAUAGCUGAGAGUGGCCGCCACUCUCCUUCUUCCUCUAGCGCGAGUGGGGCGCGUGGCCGAGAGUGGGCUCACUCUCCGGCCACCUCGCCGACAAGUGCGGGAGAGUGUGGCUUCGUCCGGGCUCCGUUUGAGAUUCCGGAACUUGUUGCGGACUCGUCUCAGCCUUCUGAAUCCAUCUAUGACCUCAGAUUUUCAUUUUGGGAACUUUUAAAAAUGGGUCAUUUUCGAAAAUGAUGAUUCCGGCCACCUCGAGUCACCAUCAAAGCUCUAGUAUGACUUGUUGGGACCGUGACUUGACGAGGAACAUCGAGGAGACAGAUUUUGCACAAAUUCUCACCAAACAUUGAACAAACAACAACAUAAAAUUAUUUUUCCUAGCUAGUUACCACUUAUGGAACCCAGAAAGUGAGAAUAAUUUUAUGCAGUUAUUUUUCUAUUCUUUCACUAUGAGGGACUGAAUAUGAAUCAAACAGAAAUAAGGGACUGAAUAUAAAUCAAACAAAAAUAAGGGGCUAAAAGUGGGAAGCAGAAUUUAAUUUUUAAAUAGGCCCCUGACGCAUUUACAUUAAUGGCGCCGAAAAAAUAAUAAUUUGACUUUCAGUCCUUUUUUUUUGGGGCACCUGUGCCUCUCCAGAAAAAUGGCAUAUGUAAGCUUUCCCCUAAUUUUUUAAGAAAAAUUUAUCACUAAUAGUCUAAAAUUGUUAUGUUCCAAACUCUCAUUUAUCUAUAGGAAAAAGAAAUGUCAUUAAAUUAAAGUGCAUUUAAUUUAAGCUUGUGUAGUAUACUUCUUUUUGUGUGGUAGACAAACUAAAAAUUUAUAAUUAUAGUACAAAGGUCACCAUUAAGAUGAAGGAUAAGUUAAAUUAAAAAAAGAAGUCAAUGAUAAAUCCUAUAAAAAUUAUGGAUGAUAAGUCUUAUUAUAAGUGCCAAAUUGCUAAUUAAUGAAAAAUGGAAAAAAGUGGGAGUUACGGUAAAAACCCAAGAUGGAAAUCUCGAACCUAUCCUUGGUGAUAUGCAAACUACUAUCCACCAGUACAACAUAGAAACAUACAAAACGAGCAAUUAAUUUUGUUGAUUUUUGAAAAAGUUGAGAAAAUAUGUGGGGUUGGAGUUCCCCGGCAGUGAGGAAGAGGUCAUUCAUGAAUUGACGGAAUUCCUUAGAGAAAAUGAUCUUGUUUGCUCGUAGUGGUCUUUUGUUGAUCUGUGGCUUUUGAGGCGCUUGGGGCUCUUGUUGUUGGGUUUGGGUUGUCUUGGCUUUGAGCCUUUUAGGGCUUUUGGAGUUCUCAUUGUGGUUUAGUUGUUGGUUGCUUUUCCAUGGCUGGGUUCUGUAAUUCUUUCGCGUCUCCUCUUUGAGAGAUUGUACUUUUCUUUUAAUUUUUAAUAAGCUCGCUCUUUUGCUCUCUGAAAAAAGAAAAAGAAAAAGCUCUUUGAGAGAUUGCACUUUUCUUUAAGUAUUAUUUUCUCUCAUCAUUUAAACUCUCACAUUAUUUAUGUUUUCCUUUAUUUCUCAAAAUUUAUUGCAAGAGGGUAUUAUUGGAAAAAAUAUAUUUAAUACAAUCUUAAAUGUGUAAGUCGUCAGUUAAAUAAAAACAAUUUUUUUCAUCAAUUGACAGCUAAAUAGUAACGGAGACAUGGUAGAUUCUAACAUGUUGCUGCAAUGCAAGCAAGCAAGCAAAUUAAUCAUGUAUUCUCCACUAUAAAUACCUAUAUGCAUCAAGCAAUGCAAUCACACCCAAAACCUUGUCUCCAGUUAUUCCCCAUUCAAGCAAGCAAAUUAAUCAUGUUACCUCCAGCAUUAGCUAUACCUGCGUUGCUCCUUCUGAUAUUACUUUUCAUUCUAUCAGUUGCCCUGCUUCUUAAUCCAAAAGAACAUAAAAAUGGUAGGAAAUAUCCACCAGGUCCCAAACCUCUGCCAAUUAUUGGCAACCUCCACCAGCUGGGUAAACUCCCUCAC
rnacentral:lncRNA from 1 species